rnacentral:tRNA from 1 species
GCCUAAGUGACUUAGAGGUUGAGUGUCUGGCUUCAGCUCAGGGUGUGAUCCUAGGACCUGGGAUCGAGUCCCACAUUGGGCU